UACGGAGGGAGCUAGCGUUAUUCGGAAUUACUGGGCGUAAAGCGCACGUAGGCGGCUUUGUAAGUUAGAGGUGAAAGCCUGGAGCUCAACUCCAGAAUUGCCUUUAAGACUGCAUCGCUUGAAUCCAGGAGAGGUGAGUGGAAUUCCGGAGUGUAGAGGUGAAAUUCGUAGAUAUUCGGAAGAACACCAGUGGCGAAGGCGGCUCACUGGACUGGUAGU
rnacentral:rRNA from 1 species